rnacentral:rRNA from 1 species
CGGGACGGGUGAGUAAUGUCUGGGAAACUGCCUGAUGGAGGGGGAUGACUACUGGAAACGGUAGCUAAUACCGCAUAACGUCGCAAGACCAAAGAGGGGGACCUUAGGGCCUCUUGCCAUCGGAUGUGCCCAGAUGGGAUUAGCUAGUAGGUGGGGUAACGGCUCACCUAGGCGACGAUCCCUAGCUGGUCUGAGAGGAUGACCAGCCACACUGGAACUGAGACACGGUCCAG